rnacentral:rRNA from 1 species
AGUGAACGCUGGCGGUAGGCCUAACACAUGCAAGUCGAACGGCAGCACAGUAAGAGCUUGCUCUUACGGGUGGCGAGUGGCGGACGGGUGAGGAAUACAUCGGAAUCUACUUUUUCGUGGGGGAUAACGUAGGGAAACUUACGCUAAUACCGCAUACGACCUACGGGUGAAAGCAGGGGAUCUUCGGACCUUGCGCGAUUGAAUGAGCCGAUGUCGGAUUAGCUAGUUGGCGGGGUAAAGGCCCACCAAGGCGACGAUCCGUAGCUGGUCUGAGAGGAUGAUCAGCCACACUGGAACUGAGACACGGUCCUGACUCCUACGGGAGGCAGCAGAGGGGAAUAUUAGACAAUGGGCGCAAGCCUGAUCCAACCAUACCGCGUGGGUGAAGAAGGCCUUCGGGUUGUAAAGCCCUUUUGUUGGGAAAGAAGAGCAGCAGGUUAAUACCCCGCUGUUCUGACGGUACCCAAAGAAUAAGCACCGGCUAACUUCGUG